GACGAACGCUGGCGGCGUGCUUAACACAUGCAAGUCGAACGGUAAGGCCCCAGCUUGCUGGGGUACACGAGUGGCGAACGGGUGAGUAACACGUGGGUGACCUGCCCCGCACUUCGGGAUAAGCCUGGGAAACUGGGUCUAAUACCGGAUAGGACCGCACCGUGAGGGUGUGGUGGAAAGUUUUUCGGUGUGGGAUGGGCCCGCGGCCUAUCAGCUUGUUGGUGGGGUAAUGGCCUACCAAGGCGGCGACGGGUAGCCGGCCUGAGAGGGUGGACGGCCACAUUGGGACUGAGACACGGCCCAGACUCCUACGGGAGGCAGCAGUGGGGAAUAUUGCACAAUGGGCGGAAGCCUGAUGCAGCGACGCCGCGUGGGGGAUGACGGCCUUCGGGUUGUAAACUCCUUUCACCAUCGACGAAGGUUUUCUGGCGGUAGAUGGAGAAGAAGCACCGGCUAACUACGUG
rnacentral:rRNA from 1 species